UACGAAGGUCUCAAGCGUUGUUCGGAAUCACUGGGCGUAAAGGGUUCGUAGGCGGUUCGUAAAGUUGGAUGUGAAAUCCCACAGCUUAACUGUGGAACUGCAUUCAAAACUCACGGACUAGAGUGUGAGAGGGGUAAAGAGAAUUCCUGGUGUAAGGGUGAAAUCUGCAGAGAUCAGGAAGAAAACCAGUCGCGAAGGCGCUUUACUGGCUCACUACUGACGCUGAGGGACGAAAGCUAGGGUAGCGAACGGG
rnacentral:rRNA from 1 species